rnacentral:tRNA from 1 species
GCCGGGAUGACGGAAUUGGCAGACGUUGGGGACUUAAAAUCCCCUGGCCGCAAGGCUGUGCGGGUUCGAUUCCCGCUCCCGGCACCA